rnacentral:tRNA from 1 species
GCCAAAAAAAGCUCAGUUGGGAGAGCGUUAGACUGAAGAUCUAAAGGUCCCUGGUUCGAUCCCGGAUUUCGGCA